CCUACGGGAGGCAGCAGUGGGGAAUAUUGCACAAUGGGGGAAACCCUGAUGCAGCGACGUCGCGUGAGUGAUGAAGUAUUUCGGUAUGUAAAGCUCUAUCAGCAGGGAAGAAAAUGACGGUACCUGACCAAGAAGCCCCGGCCAACUACGUGCAAGCAGCCGCGGUAAUACGUAGGGGGCAAGCGUUAUCCGGAUGUACUGGGUGUAAAGGGAGCGUAGACGGCGGUGCAAGCCAGUUGUGAAAGCCCGGGGCCCACCCCCGGGACUGCAUUUGGAACUGUGUGGCUAGAGUGUCGGAGAGGCAGGCGGAAUUCCUAGUGUAGCGGUGAAAUGCGUAGAUAUUAGGAGGAACACCAGUGGCGAAGGCGGCCUGCUGGACGAUAACUGACGUUGAGGCUCGAAAGCGUGGGGAGCAAACAGGAUUAGAUACCCGUGUAGUC
rnacentral:rRNA from 1 species